CCUACGGGAGGCUGCAGUGGGGAAAAUUGCACAAUGGGCGCAAGCCUGAUGCAGCCAUGCCGCGUGUGUGAAGAAGGCCUUCGGGUUGUAAAGCACUUUCAGCGGGGAGGAAGGCGUUAAGGUUAAUAACCUUGGCGAUUGACGUUACCCGCAGAAGAAGCACCGGCUAACUCCGUGCCAGCAGCCGCGGUAAUACGGAGGGUGCAAGCGUUAAUCGGAAUUACUGGGCGUAAAGCGCACGCAGGCGGUCUGUCAAGUCGGAUGUGAAAUCCCCGGGCUCAACCUGGGAACUGCAUUCGAAGCUGGCAGGCUAGAGUCUUGUAGAGGGGGGUAGAAUUCCAGGUGUAGCGGUGAAAUGCGUAGAGAUCUGGAGGAAUACCGGUGGCGAAGGCGGCCCCCUGGACAAAGACUGACGCUCAGGUGCGAAAGCGUGGGGAGCAAACAGGAUUAGAUACCCCUGUAGUC
rnacentral:rRNA from 1 species